AUUGAACGCUGGCGGCAUGCCUUACACAUGCAAGUCGAACGGCAGCACGGGAGCAAUCCUGGUGGCGAGUGGCGAACGGGUGAGUAAAGUAUCGGAACGUGCCCAGUCGUGGGGGAUCACGUAGCGAAAGUUACGCCAAUACCGCAUACGAUCUAUGGAUGAAAGCGGGGGAUCGCAAGACCUCGCGCGAUUGGGGCGGCCGAUAUAAGAUGAGGUAGUUGGUGGGGUAAAGGCUCACCAAGCCGACGAUCCGUAGCUGGUCUGAGAGUUCGACCAGCCACCCUGGGACUGAGGCACGGGCCAGACUCCUACGGGAGGCAGCAGUGGGGAAUUUUGGACAAUGGGCGAAAGCCUGAUCCAGCCAUGCCGCGUGCAGGAUGAAGGCCUUCGGGUUGUAAACUGCUUUUGUACGGAACGAAAAGGUUUGGGCUAAUAAGCUGAGCUCAUGACGGUACCGUAAGAAUAAGCACCGGCUAACUACGUGCCAGCCGCCGCAGUAA
rnacentral:rRNA from 1 species